UCGUCCCUUUGCAAGGAGCUGUACCCUGCUUGAAAUACCUAGCCGUCCGCCAUUGUACGUGUCAGAGCUUGACAGAAAUCCUUCCGAUGACGUGACAGUCCUUAACAUCGGUGAUUAUCAGAAGGAGGCGGUUGCGUGAGAGACAACAAACUGGGUUUUGGAUGCGAGUCUGCUGUCAGAGUGGAAGGGGCUUCUUUCUGCAUAUCCGGAACAAUUUUGGCCAGGAGGUGAUUCGUGUCGAACGACAGUUCAAGUGCAUGGCUGGCGGUUGCUGGCUGGCCAAUCUUGACUGCUGCUCGUGGGAGGUUACUGUAGAGUCUCCGCCUGGCAACCCCACUGGACGCGUCAAGCAGGGGGUAAGCUUCGAUCAGUGCACGGCACUGCGUUCCCAGGAGGCCCUCAGAUUUACAACGUGAGUCGAAGGCUUACAGCA
rnacentral:misc_RNA from 1 species